AAAAAUUAAGCCGAUCACUCAGCAAAAAUAAAAGCACUUUACUGAGUAACCGGUAAAAUAAGUACCAUGCUCUCAGUUUUCGACCAGAUGCCGCAUGAAUUGACGCCAUAUUUUUUUGCAUAUCAGAGCUUCUAAGAUAUCUGAUUGCGUUGCACGAAUUUGUUUAGCAAGUAAUUAAAGCUACCGGUAGAAAUUCUGGUCUAUUUCAAUAUUCAGACAUUGAAAAAAACAUGUAACAUCACGGUACGACGUCGCUACUCCCAGUAUGUUUUGGGGUUAGAACUCGUGGAUCUGAAACUAAAAUAAGACUUCAGAUGAUUGAAUGGAAUAAGGUUCCCUGCUGCCAUCUUUGUGAUUACUUCCUGGGCGUGAAAGAACAAGCGCUAGUCCUGUGCUAGCCAGGCGGAAGCCAGCAGCAGAAAAAUAUUUUAAUAUGAUUUCUGAUGAAAAAUAAAAACGGAAUAAAUAUGUAUAGGCUCUUGUGUAGGCCUGAGAUUGAAUGUGCUUUUUAUUUAUCAAUAAGAAAAGUGAAAAUUCAAUUACAUUGUAUUCGGUACUAUGAACUGCUGAAGCCGGUAAUAUUUUUUACAGAUCCAUCAGUAUUGUUUUACCGACUGCUCAGCAUUUCUUACAAAUCUGCUCGGUAUUUUUUGACACUUCGCUAUCAUGAAUACUGAACCGAGAGCUCGGUAAUUGAAUUCGAUUACCGAGGUGACUACCGAGAGCUCAGCUGUUGAGAAAUCGGUAAUUCACUUACCGAGCCCGGUGAAUAUAAUUAAGUGU